UACGAAAGGGGGCUAGCGUUGCUCGGAAUCACUGGGCGUAAAGCGCACGUAGGCGGGAUCUUUAAGUCAGGGGUGAAAUCCCAAGGCUCAACCUUGGAACUGCCCUUUGAUACUGGGGGAUCUCGAGUCCGGGAAGAGGUGAGUGGAACUGCGAGUGUAGAGGUGAAAAUUCGUAGAUAUUCGCAAGAACACCAGUGGCGA
rnacentral:rRNA from 1 species